UAUUUUCAUGAUCUUUUAAUCCAAAGCUUAGCGAGAGCGUUCGAGAAAGACUUGCGUUCCUCGUGGGUCUACUUAAUGAAGAAAAAGGUUGGAGGAAACAGCUGGAGGUGGAUCUGUCUGUAUCCAAGGCUGCUCUCAAAACAGAAAAAGAGGUCAUCCAAAGAGACCAUGAGGAGCUGAAUCUAGACCUUAAGAGACACAAUGCACUCCUAGACCAGGAGAAGAUCAAGCUGUGUGCGGAGCUGAAGCAGGCCCAGGCCAAAGUAGCCCAGCUGGAUGGGAGCGGAGCAGGACGAGUGGUAGAGCUGGAGAGACUCCAGCAGAGGGUCGGAGAUCUGGAGCCGGAGGUGGCCAGAAGCACUCAGAACCGAAAGACUAACAGCAGCUUGAUGGAGGAGCUUAAUUCAGAGAGAGCGCGUGUGAUCGCUGCUGACAAGAAGGUUGUAGAACUGCAGCAGCAACUGAAGAAUGCACUGCACCAGCUACGUCUAGAGGAGGCCAGAGCGGGAGAGACCAGCAAACUGGAGAGAGACACCAGAGACAUGUCUGAUAACCUGUCUGCCCUCAGAGCCCGACUGCAAGAGGAGCAACUACAGAGGUCAUCUGGACUUUUUCUUCUGUGUAGAUAG
rnacentral:lncRNA from 1 species